rnacentral:rRNA from 1 species
CGUAGGGCGCGAGCGUUGUCCGGAUUUAUUGGGCGUAAAGAGCUCGUAGGCGGCUUGUCGCGUCUGCCGUGUAAACCUUCGGCUUAACUGGGGGCUUGCGGUGGAUACGGGCAGGCUGGAGGCAGGUAGGGGAGAAUGGAAUUCCCGGUGUAGCGGUGAAAUGCGCAGAUAUCGGGAGGAACACCGGUGGCGAAGGCGGUUCUCUGGGCCUUGCCUGACGCUGAGGAGCGAAAGCGUGGGGAGCGAACAGGAUUAGAUACCCUGGUAGUCCAUGCUGUAAACGUUGGGCGCUAGGUGUGGGGUCUUUCCACGGAUUCCGUGCCGUAGCUAACGCAUUAAGCGCCCCGCCUGGGGAGUACGGCCGCAAGGCUA